rnacentral:rRNA from 1 species
AUUGAACGCUGGCGGCAGGCUUAACACAUGCAAGUCGAGCGAGCGGCGGACGGGUGAGUAAUGUCUGGGAAACUGCCUGAUGGAGGGGGAUAACUACUGGAAACGGUAGCUAAUACCGCAUACAAUCAGAUGUGCCUAGAUGGGAUUAGCGAGUAGGUGGGGUAAUGGCUCACCUAGGCGACAAUCCCUCGCUGGUCUGAGCGGAUGACCCGCCACGCUGUACCUCAGACACGGUCCGGACUCCUACGGGUGGCAGCAGUGGGUAAUAUUGCACACUGGGCGCAGUCCUGAUGCAGCCAUGCCGCGUGUGUUGAGAAGGCCUUCGGGUUGUAAGGCACUUUCAGCGAGGAGGCGUUACUCGCAGAAGAAGCACCGGCUAACUCCGUGCCAGCAGCCGCGGUAAUAC